CGUUCUCAUGGAUACGGUUCUAACACUACUGGUCACGUUACUGUAACUAUCUCAUGGAUACGGUUCUAACACUACUGGUCACGUUCUCAUGGAUACGGUUCUAACACUACUGGUCACGUUCUCAUGGAUACGGUUCUAACACUACUGGUCACGUUCUCAUGGAUACGGUUCUAACACUACUGGUCACGUUCUCAUGGAUACGGUUCUAACACUACUGGUCACGUUCUCAUGGAUACGGUUCUAACACUACUGGUCACGUUCUCAUGGAUACGGUUCUAACACUACUGGUCACGUUCUCAUGGAUACGGUUCUAACACUACUGGUCACGUUCUCAUGGAUACGGUUCUAACACUACUGGUCACGUUCUCAUGGAUACGGUUCUAACACUACUGGUCACGUUCUCACAGAUACGGUUCUAACACUACUGGUCACGUUCUCACAGAUACGGUUCUAACACUACUGGUCACGUUCUCACAGAUACGGUUCUAACACUACUG